rnacentral:misc_RNA from 1 species
GGAAAUCCAAGAAAGCUGAAUUUGUAUUAGAGACACACUACACCCUUAACAGGACCUUUGAUGAUAUUAAAGUCGAUAUCCUCCUCGCAUUUAAACAGCCUUUGUACUAUAUGGAGAAAAAAUGUGUUUUACAGCUUCAAAGACCUCCCCAACGGGCCUUCCAGCAUCAAUCUUCCGAACCUUGCCCUUGGCAUCAUAAUACUCAAUUACAGGCAAACUAGAUUCUACAAAAACCUUAAAGCGUUUCCUUAUGGUCUCAAUGUUGUCAUCGUCUCUUCCCUGAUUGCGAUUCAAAAGACGCCUCUCCAUUUCUUCCUCCGAACAAUCAAAAAAUAGAACAAAUUCGGGCUCAAUUUUUGUAACAU